UCAUGCCCCUUAUGUCCAGGGCUACACACGUGCUACAAUGGCCGGUACAAAGGGCUGCAAGACCGUGAGGUUGAGCGAAUCCCAGAAAGCCGGUCUCAGUUCGGAUUGGAGUCUGCAACUCGACUCCAUGAAGUUGGAAUCGCUAGUAAUCGCGGAUCAGCAUGCCGCGGUGAAUACGUUCCCGGGCCUU
rnacentral:rRNA from 1 species